AGCCCCGUAGUGUAGCGGUCAAUCAUAUGAGACUCUGGAUCUUGUGACAGCAGUUCGAAUCUGCUCGGGGCUACCA
rnacentral:tRNA from 2 species